AACACCUCAAUUUCACAAUCUUUUUUUUGAAAUUGGACUUGAGCAAAUCCCAACGUCUAUUUUAUUAUAUGGAGGGUUGCUUCAAAUGCAGGUGCAGCCGAUCAUUCUUCUGGGCUAAAAGCAUUAUCUAGUUAAUCCCGUAAAACGGAUUAUUCACUUUAUUUGCUGCGGCUUACCUUUAAAAGGAAGAAAUGGUCAUUGUGCUGACUGAUGCAGGAUUUCUCAGAGCUCCGUAAAACGACCUUUGAAA
rnacentral:misc_RNA from 1 species